AGUUAACUCUAUAAUAGAGUUACUCUAAAAUAAAGUGAAAUAUAAAAUAAUAUUAUUUUUUACUCUAUAUUUAGAGUAAAAAAACAACAUUACUAUAUAUUUAACUAUAUUACAGAGUGAACCAUUGGAGUAUAUCCAAUACUAUAAUAGAGUUAUUCUAUUUUAUAGUGAAAAUUAGAAGAAAUUAUUAUGUGCCAUUGGAAAUGCUCUAAAGACAUCAUUAACCCUAAAGUUGCUUAAGUGGGGUGCUAAAAAACUUUUUUUUUUUUGUCUGAAUUUUUUUUUUUUUUAAAAUGACCAAUCGCGGGCCGCCACGUGUUCGCGAAAGUCUAAUUAAGCACUCCUCCUUCUUCUUCUUCUUCUCCUCUUUCUACUUUUUAUAAUUAAAAAAACGCUAAGCACCCCUUAAGCACCUAUGGUUAAUGGUGUUCUUAGACCAUCAUUAUCGCAAUUUCUUAGUAGAGGUUUUAAACAAAAGUAGGCAUUUAUUUAAAUCAAAAUUAAAGAAAAUUAAAGUAACCGAUCCUCAAUACAGAGUUUUGACAACCGAUUAUAGAGAAGUUUCUUAAUACACGUGUCAGCAGACUGUUAUUUAGAAAUUUGUUUUUCUUUUCUCUCAUUUCUCUCUUCUCUCUCCUUUCUCUCCUCUUCUCUCGUGUUCUUCGACUCGAAAGAAAAGCGACAGAGACGCCCGCUUGAUCGCCGGCGUUCUGUUUCUCUCCGGCCACCGAGUCUUUCACCUUUUUUUACUAAGAUUGCAAAAAGAGUAUGGUGAGUGAAUGAUCGUGAGACAAUCGAAAGUUGAGGAAUUUGGAGAGAUUGGAGAACUCCGACGGAAAGACACUUCCUUGCGUUCGCACCUACGAGAACGACUCAGCUAGGCCCAACCUCGUCGGUACAGUAGCUUUCGGUCUGGCUUUAACCGCCGCUGCAGCCGACGGCGGCGAAGCCGCCGAUGAUCAUCUUCGUGAAAACGUCCCCGUCAUGGUGGUCGAGACUGUUUUCCCUGGAGGAUCCGACCCGAAGGCUACUGUCUCAACCCAAUUGUUCUUGCCUACUAAGAAAGUUAAAGAGCGAGUAACAUGACACAAGACGAGACAUGAAGUUGGCUGCAGUUUCUAAAAAAAACAUAAGUUGGUUGUUGUUUCUAAAAAAACACGAGGCAUGAAGUUGGUAGAAAGUGACUUGGGAGUGGAAGGAUCACGGACUUGUGUCUUGUGGUGAUUGUGUACUUUGUUGAUUGUGUAAUAUGUUUUAAGAAACCUUAUCUUUGUUCUAUCUACUUCCUCUUAAGUGUUAUCAACGCUCUCGAGAGUUAAUUGUUAUUACUGUGUGUUGUGCAGAUCAUUACAGGGAAUCAGAAUCAUCCAAGCAGCAGCUGGUGCUGGCUGUACAAUACUGAUAAGUGAUAGUGUAAACGUUUACUUGUGUGGGAAAGAUUCGUUCGGUGAAGCUGAAUACGGAGGGCAAGGGUCUAAUGUUCCUGGUCUUGUUGUCUAGUUCGUAUGUCAGGAUCACUCACUCUAUCUUCAAAGAACGUCAAGAAUGGCUCAGAAAAGGUGUGUGUGUGUGUGUGUGUUGGAGUGUCUGUUGUAGUGUCACGAGAUAUUUGUGUAUGUUGUAGUUGUUGUCUUGUGGCACAAACACUUUAUAAAUCACAAGAGAAGUGUUGUUGUUGUCGUCUUGUGUCACGGGUGAUUUAUAAAUCACAAGAGAAGUUGUAGUUGUUCUCUUGUGUCACAGACACUUUAUAAAUCACAAACACACUUGAUUCUCUUUAUAAAUCACAAUCAAUUCUUUUCUUUUUU